rnacentral:sRNA from 1 species
CGCCUGCUGCGGGCAGAUGAAGUGGAUGUGCGUGUCGAUGCCGCCCGCGGUGACGAUGAGCCCUUCGGCGGAGAUGACCUCGGUGGUGACGCCCACCACCAUGCCGGGGGUCACCGGCAUCACGUCGGGGUUGCCCGCCUUGCCGAUGCCGACAAUGCGCCCCGCCUUGAUGCCGAUGUCCGCCUUGUAGACGCCCGUCCAAUCGAUGAUGAGCGCGCUGGUGACGACGCAGUCCAGGGCGUCCGCGUCGCCCACGCCGGCGUUCUGGCCCAUGCCUUCGCG